GCAUAUCAAUAAGCGGAGGAAAAGAAACCAACAGGGAUUGCCCUAGUAACGGCGAGUGAAGCGGCAACAGCUCAAAUUUGAAAUCUGGCUUCGGCCCGAGUUGUAAUUUGCAGAGGAAGCUUUAGGCGCGGCACCUCCUGAGUCCCCUGGAACGGGGCGCCACAGAGGGUGAGAGCCCCGUAUAGUUGGAUGCCUAGCCUGUGUAAAGCUCCUUCGACGAGUCGAGUAGUUUGGGAAUGCUGCUCAAAAUGGGAGGUAAAUUUCUUCUAAAGCUAAAUACCGGCCAGAGACCGAUAGCGCACAAGUAGAGUGAUCGAAAGAUGAAAAGCACUUUGAAAAGAGGGUUAAAUAGCACGUGAAAUUGUUGAAAGGGAAGCGCUUGUGACCAGACUUGCGCCGGGCUGAUCAUCCGGUGUUCUCACCGGUGCACUCUGCCCGGCUCAGGCCAGCAUCGGUUCUCGCGGGGGGAUAAAGGCCCUGGGAACGUAGCUCCUCCGGGAGUGUUAUAGCCCGGGGCGCAAUGCCCUCGCGGGGACCGAGGUUCGCGCUCUGCAAGGAUGCUGGCGUAAUGGUCAUCAGCGACCCGUCUUGAAACACGGACCAAGGAGUCAAGGUUUUGCGCGAGUGUUUGGGUGUAAAACCCGCACGCGUAAUGAAAGUGAACGUAGGUGAGAGCUUCGGCGCAUCAUCGACCGAUCCUGAUGUUCUCGGAUGGAUUUGAGUAGGAGCGUUAAGCCUUGGACCCGAAAGAUGGUGAACUAUGCUUGGAUAGGGUGAAGCCAGAGGAAACUCUGGUGGAGGCUCGCAGCGGUUCUGACGUGYAAAUCGAUCGUCAAAUCUGAGCAUGGGGGCGAAAGACUAAUCGAACCAUCUAGUAGCUGGUUACCGCCGAAG
rnacentral:rRNA from 1 species